AGUGAACGCUGGCGGUAGGCCUAACACAUGCAAGUCGAACGGCAGCACAGUAAGAGCUUGCUCUUACGGGUGGCGAGUGGCGGACGGGUGAGGAAUACAUCGGAAUCUACUUUUUCGUGGGGGAUAACGUAGGGAAACUUACGCUAAUACCGCAUACGACCUACGGGUGAAAGCAGGGGAUCUUCGGACCUUGCGCGAUUGAAUGAGCCGAUGUCGGAUUAGCUAGUUGGCGGGGUAAAGGCCCACCAAGGCGACGAUCCGUAGCUGGUCUGAGAGGAUGAUCGGCCACCCUGGAGCUGAGACACGGUCCAGACUCCUACGGGAGGCAGCAGUGGGGAAUGUUGGACAAUGGGCGCAAGCCUGAUCCAGCCAUACCGCGUGGGUGAAGAAGGCCUUCGGGUUGUAAAGCCCUUUUGUUGGGAAAGAAAAGCAGCAGGUUAAUACCCCGCUGUUCUGACGGUACCCAAAGAAUAAGCACCGGCUAACUUCGUG
rnacentral:rRNA from 1 species